rnacentral:rRNA from 1 species
GCGCAUUGGCGGCCGGGCCUAACACAUGCAAGUCGAACGGUAGCACAGAGGAGCUUGCUCCUUGGGUGACGAGUGGCGGACGGGUGAGUAAUGUCUGGGAAACUGCCCGAUGGAGGGGGAUAACUACUGGAAACGGUAGCUAAUACCGCAUAACGUCGCAAGACCAAAGAGGGGGACCUUCGGGCCUCUUGCCAUCGGAUGUGCCCAGAUGGGAUUAGCUAGUAGGUGGGGUAACGGCUCACCUAGGCGACGAUCCCUAGCUGGUCUGAGAGGAUGACCAGCCACACUGGAACUGAGACACGGUCCAGACUCCUACGGGAGGCAGCAGUGGGGAAUAUUGCACAAUGGGCGCAAGCCUGAUGCAGCCAUGCCGCGUGUAUGAAGAAGGCCUUCGGGUUGUAAAGUACUUUCAGCGAGGAGGAAGGUGUUGUGGUUAAUAACCGCAGCGAUUGACGUUACUCGCAGAAGAAGCACCGGCUAACUCUGUGCCAGCAGCCGCAA